CGAUAACGAACGAGACCUUAACCUGCUAAAUAGUUAGGCCAACGUUUGUUGGUCGUCAACUUCUUAGAGGGACUAUUGACUAUUAGUCAAUGGAAGUUUGAGGCAAUAACAGGUCUGUGAUGCCCUUAGAUGUUCUGGGCCGCACGCGCGCUACACUGAUCAAGUCAACGAGUUUACAACCUUAGCCGGAAGGUCUGGGUAAUCUUUUGAAACUUGAUCGUGCUAGGGAUAGUCCAUUGCAAUUAUUGGACUUCAACGAGGAAUUCCUAGUAAGCGUGAGUCAUCAGCUCGCGUUGAUCACGUCCCUGCCCUUUGUACACACCGCCCGUCGCU
rnacentral:rRNA from 1 species